UUCAAGGGAGGGGGAAAGAAAAUAAAAUUGGAACGAUACAGAGAAGAUUAGCAUGGCCCCUGCGCAAGGUUGACUCAUCUUUAGAUUCUUUAGUGUCUCUA
rnacentral:snRNA from 1 species